rnacentral:ncRNA from 1 species
AGUUUUAUACCAGAGCCGCUUUGCAGGGGCAUGAUUGUCUGAACGGAACCUUUACCGAAGCUUCGUGUGCCAAUAACCACCGCACGGUGAUGAUCUUGCAAUGCACCUGCAACAAUUUCAGAUGCUGAUGCAGAACCGCCGUUGAUUAAAACCACCAAAGGUUUACCUGCGGUCAAAUCGCCCGGUGUGGCGUUGCGUCUAUCACUGUCUUGCGAAUUGCGGCCCCGUGUAGAUACGAUUUCACCUUUUUCUAAAAACGCAUCUGACACCAAUACCGCUUGUGUUAACAAGCCACCUGGAUUGUUGCGC